CGGACGGGUGAGUAACGCGUGAGAAUUUACCUUUAGGAGGGGGAUAACAAUUGGAAACGAUUGCUAAUACCCCAUAUGCUUUUUUAAGUGAAAUGGAUUUUUCCGCCUAAAGAAAAGCUCGCGGCUGAUUAGCUAGUUGGUAAGGUAAUGGCUUACCAAGGCGACGAUCAGUAUCUGGUUUGAGAGGACGAUCAGACACACUGGAACUGAGACACGGUCCAGACUCCUACGGGAGGCAGCAGUGGGGAAUUUUCCGCAAUGGGCGAAAGCCUGACGGAGCAAUACCGCGUGAGGGAAGAAAGCCUACUGGGUUGUAAACCUCUUUUUUCAGGGAGGAAAAAAAUGACGUGUACUUGAAGAAUAAGCAUCGGCUAACUCCGUGCCAGCAGCCGCGGUAAGACGGAGGAUGCAAGUGUUAUCCGGAAUUACUGGGCGUAAAGCGUCUGCAGGUGGUUUAAUAAGUCAACUGUUAAAUCUUGAGGCUUAACUUCAAAACAGCAGUCGAAACUAUUAGACUAGAGUAUAGUAGGGGUAAAGGGAAUUUCCAGUGGAGCGGUGAAAUGCGUAGAUAUUGGAAAGAACACCGAUGGCGAAGGCACUCUACUGGGCUAUUACUGACACUCAGAGACGAAAGCUAGGGUAGCAAAUGGGAUUAGAUACCCCAGUAGUC
rnacentral:rRNA from 1 species